rnacentral:lncRNA from 1 species
UUUAUUAUGAUAAAGUGGAGUGUAAUAAUAAAUAUUGGUAGUGGGCAAUCCAUAAAUUUUGGUUAUUUCCAACUUAGGACUGCUCUGACAGACUUAUAGACAUCUUAACCCUGCUCUCACAAUGGUAGGAUUAACUGAACCCUGUCAUAAGUCAAAGAUUACCUAUACUCACUAACUGUGAUAUAGGGAAAAUAAAAUUCUUUAUUUGCAUGUCCUGUUGAUUUGCUUGAACUUUGCAAAAAUGCUUAUCAGUUUCAUUGAAUCAAUAUUUGCAAUGAUUAAUGGUUUUCUUUGUAUAAUGUAUAGAAUGUCCAGUUUCACAGGAGUUCUUGUGCUAUGGGUAAAUGGACAAUCCACUGAGGGGAUUUUUAUUGUAUUCCAGUUUUCUGUCUUGUAUAAUAAACUUAGUUUCUUUGGACCAAAAUACAUGAUGAUCUUGUUUUGCAUCAAUAAAAUUUAGCAUUUUGAUCUUGAUUUUCCAGGAAUGCUAGUAGUAGCACUAGAUGUA